rfam:Myotis brandtii contig161297, whole genome shotgun sequence.
GGCGGUUCUCGGGGGACGCACCCCAGGAUUGGGCUCCCUCCUUUCUGGUUCUGGAUGCAUCAUCCAAGAACCACA